AGAUUCUAAUUUAACGAACAUGAAAUUCACCAUGACGCUGACUUUAUGUGAUGACAGACUACCUUUUUUUAAAAACACAAUUGUUUGUUUAUGGUGUGUGUGUAACAGACAUAAAAAUGCAAUGUGUGUGUGUAAAUGAGAGAGGCAUAUGUGUGAGCGUGUCAGAGUCAGGACAGUAGUUUGCCUCUAAAUGUAUUUGUCCUUAACUUCCAGAGUGGACAUUUCAACUGAAUUUGGACAAAUGAUUGUAUGUGGCCGAGGUGGACUGAGUAGAGCUUUGCAGCUGACUUCAUCCUUAACAACUGUGUAUUUCGAAAAAAACAAAUAACUGGUAUCACCAAAGCGGAAAGAAAUAAGGAAGCCAUUAAGUAUUUAGGGAAUCGAUCCGUCGGC